rnacentral:rRNA from 1 species
AGAGUUUGAUUCUGGCUACAGAACGAACGCUGGCGGCAGGCCUAACACAUGGCAAGUCGAGCGCGCCUUCGGGGGUGAGCGGCGGACGGGUUAGUAACGCGUGGGAACGUACCCUUUGGUAGGGAAUAGCCACUGGAAACGGUGAGUAAUACCCUAUGAGCCCUUCGGGGGGAAAGAUUUAUCGCCAAAGGAUCGGCCCGCGUUAGAUUAGGUAGUUGGUGGGGUAAUGGCCUACCAAGCCUACGAUCUAUAGCUGGUUUUAGAGGAUGAUCAGCAACACUGGGACUGAGACACGGCCCAGACUCCUACGGGAGGCAGCAGUGGGGAAUCUUGGACAAUGGGGGCAAACCCCUGGUCCAGCCAUGCCGCGUGAGUGAAGAAGGCCUUAGGGUCGUAAAGCUCUUUCGCCUGUGAAGAUAAUGACGGUAGCAGGUAAAGAAACCCCGGCUAACUCCGUGCCAGCCGCCGC